CGUGCGGAGGGACUGUCCCUCAAUGAGAAAUCAUUUUGCGGAGAGCUCGAGUGGGCAAUCGAUGAGAAAUUCGGACACAUACAUGUAGGAGAAUGCUGUACGCUAAUGUCACUGUCAGGAACUCAGGAAUGAUAACCCUGCUUCCUAUAAUUUCGGGGGACUUAAGUUCCAGGAAUACCGAAUGUACACCACUCCAUGUACAUGCAUUGAGACAUCCUAACAUUUUGGACUGACUGACCCUGGGGGUUUUGUUUUGGGGUUUUCUAUUCCUACCUCUAUGAUUGACCAAGCAUCCGAUUGGAAAUAAACCGUAGUGAUCGAGAAGUGA